ACGGGGUGCAGCAGGCGCGAAAACUUUACAAUGCCGGCAACGGCGAUAAGGGGACCUCGAGUGCCAGGUUACAAAUCUGGCUGUCGUGAUGCCUAAAAAGCAUUGCAUAGCAAGGGCCGGGCAAGACCGGUGCCAGCCGCCGCGGUAACACCGGCGGCUCGAGUGGUAACCGUUAUUAUUGGGUCUAAAGGGUCUGUAGCCGGCCGGAUAAGUCUCUUGGGAAAUCCAGCAGCUCAACUGUUGGGCUUUCAGGAGAUACUGUCUGGCUCGAGGCCGGGAGAGGUGAGAGGUACUUCAGGGGUGGGGGUGAAAUCUUGUAAUCCUUGAAGGACCACCAGUGGCGAAGGCGUCUCACCAGAACGGACCUGACGGCAAGGGACGAAAGCUAGGGGCACGAACCGGAUUAGAUACCCGGGUAGUCCUAGCCGUAAACGAUACUCGCUAGGUGUCGGCCACGGUGCGACCGUUGUCGGUGCCGUAGGGAAGCCGUGAAGCGAGCCACCUGGGAAGUACGGCCGCAAGGCUGAAACUUAAAGGAAUUGGCGGGGGAGCAC
rnacentral:rRNA from 1 species